rnacentral:rRNA from 1 species
UACAGAGGGUGCAAGCGUUGUCCGGAUUUACUGGGCGUAAAGAGCGCGCAGGCGGUCGAUCAAGUCGAGUGUGAAAGCCCCCGGCUCAACUGGGGAGGGUCAUUCGAUACUGAUCGACUCGAAGGCAGGAGAGGGUAGUGGAAUUCCCGGUGUAGUGGUGAAAUGCGUAGAUAUCGGGAGGAACACCAGUGGCGAAGGCGACUACCUGGCCUGUUCUUGACGCUGAGGCGCGAAAGCUAGGGGAGCAAACGGGG